rnacentral:misc_RNA from 1 species
CUCAAUUUUAAUUUUUGUUUUUUCCGUCAAUUAAAUUCCAAAAGGAGGAGUUAUGAGUGGAGGAGGCGUCUUUACCGACAUUUUAGCCGCCGCAGGCCGUAUUUUCGAGGUUAUGGUCGAAGGUCACUGGGAAACCGUCGGUAUGCUUUUUGACUCGCUGGGCAAAGGCACCAUGAGGAUCAACCGUAAUGCUUAUGGUUCCAUGGGUGGUGGCAGCCUUCGUGGUUCUUCCCCCGAGGUAUCCGGCUAUGCCGUUCCUACCAAAGAAGUUGAAUCGAAGUUUGCCAAAUAAGCAAACCGUUCAGCCGGUUUUCAGAAGCAGUGACAGGUUUUCCGCCUUCACUGCUUUU